rnacentral:tmRNA from 1 species
UGGUUUCGACAUUUAAAAAAAAGGGUAAUGUGAUGCAGGUCGAAGCUUGUAUUCUUCGUAAAAAUCUACAAUUUAAUGAAUAAAUGCUAAUAAUAUUAUUCCGUUUAAGUUCAAACAGUUAAAAUUAAAUAAUAUAAGUUCAAGCACUCAAGUUAAUUUUGCUCUUGCUUAAAAUUUUUAUUACUUAUAUUUAAAAUUUGUUCGCUAUUACUUCUUAGUCUUAGUUUAGAAUUUUUUUUAUUGUUCAAUCAAUGAACUAAAUCUGUGAAUGAGCGUUUUUCUUAGUUUUAGAUGGACAUGGGUUCAAAUCCCAUCAGCUCCA